AAAAUUGCUAUAUUAAUUUUUGAGGUUAUGUUCAAUAAAACAACCAAAUUAGUGGACUUACGACAAAAUUAGUCUUUUUGGGUGUGGGCAAACU